rnacentral:lncRNA from 12 species
UCCCCGAAUCUAAGUCCGUGUUCUAACUCCCGGAACCCGUGAGUGCAAACUUGUUUGGAAAAAGGGUCCCUGCAAGUGUAAUUAGGUAAGGAAUCUUGAGAGGACAUCACCCUACAGUGUCCCUCCAGGAGAAAGGGGGGUGGCUGUUGAGACAGUGCGGAGGCCCCAGUGACGUUGCGUGGCCAGGGAGCGCAGGGCUGGAGCGAGCGAGCGUGGGGUGGAUUCCGGCUUCCAGGACUGUGGGGACAAGUUCUGUUGUUUCAGUGACUUGUGUGGCCGCCCUGGGGAAACAGGCCCUACUGGGGACUCUGGCCGCGGGCAUGAGCCGUCAGCUGCCCUCAGCAAACCCACUCGGCGCGUGGCUCCCCAGAAGAACUACAGGGAAAGGAAGGAAAAAAAAGCCCGGGAUUACAUGAGGAGAGAUUUGAAAUCCAGCAACAAGAUGACACACAAAACCCCUAGCAGCCAGAGCUAGAGGAACGGCUGAGACUGGGAGCCGGAGCGACUGGUUUGGGACUCAGCACCGCUUCUUCCUUACUCUGCUUUUUGUAGGCAGAAAGAGCACUGAAGGACAGGGCUGUGGGAGCGGUCUGGAGAGACUGGGGGCGGAGGUGGAGCUGGGCAUCUCUUGAGAGUUCUCAUGUGCCACACAGCGGCACCCAGGAGUCACGGGAGAGUAUUGGGACCGUGGCAGUUCCGGCCCUUUUGUGAGGAUGGUUCCCCCUCCUCUAGUUCACAUGGGGGCAGAGCAGCAGCGGGGUCCCCGGCACCCUGCUGCUAAGGCAUGAUGUGGCUCUGCCCUGGGCCCUGACCGCUUGCCGCAGCCUCACCUCCACUGCUCCAAACAUAGUAGCCCUGACAGUGAGCGCUCUGGGUGGCGCGGAAGCACGUGUCCACCGUGUAGACCAGCAAGCAGAGAAGCCCAGGGUACCAGAGACACGGAGGAGAGUAGACGGGAGAAGUGAGCAUCUCGGCGGACUCCUGGCCCCUGAUGCCGGCGGCCUGGUAGUGGCCUCCUGUUGGGAUCCAUGACAACUAACAGUGGGCUGUUUUGAGCAGGGGAGGGGCCUGGUCCCUGGAGAAUCAAAACAAUGAUGCCAGCACCCCCAUUUACUGGUGACGCCACACGCUCUGGCUCGCAGCCAGUGUCCACCCUCUGACAGACGCUUCCUGCGGACACUUCCUUGGGAAUAAAGCUCUGUGAGUCAUGAAUCA